CCCUCGACCGGUUCUCCCACCGGCUUCUUUCGCGAUCACAUUGCUGCCGCGACCACCCUCGGGAUCCCCGAGCGCUCAACUCAUACAGCGGCCCUGGUGCGUUCUCCUUCCCAGCCAACAGGCAGCCCAGACACAGCCCCCUCGCGCCCGGAGGUGUCCCCGCUCCCUGGAUCCCCGACUGCCUGCCUUUGGGGGUCCUCCUCAGCUGAGCGUGCGUCCCGGUCCAGCAACGUUACCGGCUGCUCUGCUAACCCUAGCAGAGUCUGGAAUUGCCGGCGGCGGCGACAGCGAGGCAUUGAGGGCCUCCUUUGUUGCCCAGGCCGGAGUGCAGUGGCUAUUCACAGGUCGAUAAUGCAAUCAUGGUGCACACUACAGCCUUGAACUUCUGGGCUCAUGUGAUCCUUCUGCCUCAGCCUCCCAGAAAUAAGAAGAAAAAAAAGGAUAUUACCAACAAUGGAAGAGGAAUGCAGAGUGGCAACAGCUCCAAGUGGACCUGGCAGACUAUGAACACUAGAAUCACCAAGGAAACAUGGAGCUAUGAAAUGGCAAAAGGCUGUGUGAAAACCCUGACGCUUUUUGGUUCAGCCUUUAAAAACCAAAUGAAAACUCAAGAGAUACAAGAAUGUGGUUAUUUUGAUGAACAACUCACAAACUAGUUGAAUUAAAAGAAACUGGUUCAAAUGAACACAAACCUAAACA
ensembl:lncRNA HEATR5A-DT HEATR5A divergent transcript